rnacentral:lncRNA from 1 species
UUUGACUUAUUAAAAAUUUAGUUUGAUGUUAUAAACAAAGAAAGCUUCAAGUUAUUAAUACUCGAAUAGGUAAAUUCAAGUCGAGCUCUAAAAAUUUGAGCAAACUAAACUUGAAUUAAUUUUAAAUUAAUUUCAACUUUACCAGUAAUACCAAAUACACAACAACAGAGAAAUCUCAGCUGCAAAGAUAUGGAGGAAGAAGAAGAUGAAUUUUCUUCAAGGAAACAUGAGGAACAUCUACGCUUGUCAAGAGGGGCGAAGAAUUUUCUUGUUCACUUCCAUGGUAGGGUAUUUAUACUUUGAAUUCUGUAUUAAAAGCGAGAGCUUUUCUAAGUCGAUGAUUUGGCUUACAAGGGAAAAGGAGAAGCAGAAAUCUACUGGAAUUCUUCAAAGAGAGCAUUUGCCUUUAUUCCACCGAAUAAAAAUGUUUCCACUGAAGAUGAUUUGAAUGUCAAGAAUGGGAAAAUCGAAGGAGGUACUAAAUCUGAGAUUCGGGUUUCGAUUGGGAACUGGAAGGAUGAACCUUCGUUGGCUUCUUGGGCGACAAAAGAAGGUUAUUCACUUAACCUUUACGCCUACUAAAAUCUAGUUUCUUUCUUUUUCUAUUUCUUGAAUUUUUUUUUUCUCGGGAAAAUUUAUAUUCCGUCAUUAUGUUCGAGGCAGAACUUGAGUGUCUUUAGUUUUAAAAUUUGCACAUUGUAAAUUGCAGUAGCGCUUUCACUUUGGAUUAACAAGACAAAGCUCUGAGAAUUUCAUGCAAUUUUCCUUCCAAACCUAAGAAUCCUUAUUCUCCAUAUAAAAUUUUUAUCAAUCAGUGAAUCUAGAUGAACCAAAAGUAGAGUGAAAUCCAAACAAACACAGAUCAUAAUAGUUGCUGUUGCCCAAUGAACCAGUAGUAGUGGAGUACAGUUAAUUAAAUAGUGUCUCACAAAUACAGAAAAUAUUGAAAGAUCAUAUUUGAAUUUCUAAAUUUAUUCAAACACAAUAACUCAAUAAGACCCACAAGCAUUGAAUGGAGUUACCUAGAAACAAGUUCUAAUACACUUACAAUUCAUUGAGUUUAGAACAUUUCCUUCAUCAAAUCAAAUACUCCACAUAAUUUGAACAGAAAAUUCAUCACCUUUCUCCUUGAUCCACACAACACUUUCCAUAGUUGGAGCUGCAUGCAAUCAUAUCCUUUCCAUUGAGUAAGACUUCUCCCAUAACUUUGAGGCCAAGAAUCACAGUUUACCCAAGAAUGAACCACCUGAAAAAAAAAAAAAAAAUCAAUUUAAUUCAACUGAGGAAUAGAAAGAAAAACGAGUUCAUAUUAGCCAUGGGAUAUGUGUGUUUGUUAACACAAAUAAAUAAUAAUAAUAAUAAUAAUGAUAAAUUAAAAAUAAUAUUUUAAAUUUUGAAAUUUCAAAUAUACAGAAUUAUACUCUUUUAUUGAUUUCACUUUUUGAAAACAUGAUUUAUCUUAAUUUUGUUUUAUUUCAACUUUAUAUACAUUUUGACUAAUUUAUAUGAUUAUAAUUCUUAGACUUAUUCUAGUCAACUUGAGAUUUUAACAAUAAUGAUCUCAAUAUCAUGUUAGCAUAAUAUAGCCAUACAUCAUAAAUAAUUUGAUAUAAUUGAAAUGAAACUAAUAAUUUAAAUUUAAUUAUUUUUUUGAAAAUAAUAUAUAAUUGAAAAAAAAUUAGAUCAUUAAACAUUCUUUUUAAUAUAUAGUUGGCAGUCACAUAUAUACAAACUAAUUUAAAAAGACAUUAUCAUUUAAAUAUAUUACUUAUGUAAUUAAUUAUAAGCAUUCAACUAUCUGUUAAAAUAUUUAUUAGGUAGAAUGUGUGUAACAAAAAGUGCUGUGUCUUAACAAUAAAAGCAAAGUAAUGUGUUCCUUGCCUUUGAUGAUGUCAGGCGAGUAGUGUUAGAUUGUCGUGGAAACUGAGAUGGAGGAUAUGUGUUUCACCUUGUCAAAAUCCUCUCCUUCAACUCCAUGUAUCACUUGAAUUUUCCUUGCAAAUUUUUUUUUCAUGUUAAUGACUUUCAGUUCUCGGAGUUUGGUGAUGAAUUCUAUUCCUUCUGGGAUUUUCUCCAAUUCCUGCAGCUUUUCUAAGUGCAAAAUCUUGAGGCAAGGCAUUGCACCCUCCUCUAUUUUCCAUUCUUGUACUCCAAGCCCUUCAAGUUUAAGAGUCUCAAGUUGAGGGAAACCAUGAGCAGAACAGCCCAUUUUUGUCCCUUUGUACGACUUAUCUUCCAAGUGUAAAAAGCUCAAAUUAGGCAGCUUCUGUAGAAAACUCAUGGGAUCCUGGUUUAGCCCAGAAUUACUCAAAAUUAACUUAUUGAGGCUUACUGGAAGAAAUUCCAAGUUGUGAUGGAGAGAACUUGGAUGUUCUGGUAUCUCUCCACGUAACUCUAGCUUCUUCAAGGAUUGACAAUGUGAAAGUGGCUCCAAACUUGGAAAUGAGCUUUCCCUUGCCAGUAUAUUCAAAGAAUGCAGGCUACCUUUUGAAAAAAUUGGAGAUUUCAUAACCAAAUCAAUUUCCUCCCUUUUGUUGAAACCUAUUGCUAUAUUUCGAAGAUUAGUCAAUUUGUGCAUUGCAUUUUUCCUUAUAAGACUUGCAGGAUGAGCCCACUUCAAAGUUUCUAGGUUUCUUAAGGUAUCCAUUCGACAAUACUCCAGAAUCUUAAGCAAGUCUACAAACAAGUGUCUCAAAUUUUUUAACUUCCAAACUACAUCAGGCAAUCUUAGUGACUGAUUAUUUCGUACAUCAAGUGUACAUAAGCUCCUCAAGUUACCUAUGGAGGUUGGCAAUGCUGCCUCCAUGGAUACUUUAGUAUUUCUUAACCCAAGAUACCUCAAAUGAAUCAGAUCGCCGAUUUCAUUCGGUAUAUAUUCAACUUUUAGACCCCAAAGAUUCAAUACUCUGAGCAGUCUGCAUUCAUCAAAGUUAAGACUUCUAUGGUCAAAUUUCAUCUCAUACCUUUGCUCUUUGAGGAAGUAGAAAAAAGAACGAUGGCGUGAAUUGCUUGGCAUCAAGGUUAUGGAAUGUAAUUGAUCAGAAUCUGGGGAUAUUUUAGGAUGAACAGCUAUCCGACGUGCCACAAUAUUCUCAUGGUAGUGCUCAGAAAUACCAAGAAAAUUCUCCUUUCUUGCCAUCAGCACACACAUGUCUCUCAUCAGAUCAUGAAUGCGACAUGUUUUGAUGCCCAUCCCAGUGUAAUCCCUUUGGCUCACUUGAACCAUGCACCUAUUUGCGAGCUCUUCCAAAUAUCGUUCACCCAUAUCUUCCAUUGCUUCAUUUCCUCCCAGUAAAGCUCGGGACAAAAAGCCCUCAGCAGCCCACAUCCUAAUUAACAUCCUCUUGUGAAUCUCCCAGUCUUCUGGAAAUUGGGAAAAAUAGAGAAAGAAUGGUUUUAAGUAAAAAGGCAAAUCAUGAUAACUCAAAGCUAAUAUACCAUAGACUCCCCCGUAUUGAUGAUGUCGUUCCCACAGAACGAAUUGUGCAUUAAUAUUGCUCCGCACUACCUCCCACUCCUUUAAUGUCUUCUUUGUUGCCAAUAACCCUCCAAGUACAACAAUGGCUAAUGGCAAGCCACCACAUUUUUUUACCAUUUCCCUUCCCAAACUCUCAUGUUCUCGUUGACAGCCAUCUUUGAUGAGAAUAUCUUUUGGGAAUGCUUUCCUACUGAGAAGUUCCCAGGCCUCAUCAUUUGUUAAAAGAGGUGGUUCCACCGGAGAGCUCCAUGGAUCAGCAUAAGCAGCAACCUCUUUGUUCCGCGUGGUUAAUAAAACUUUGCUCCCUUUCUUUCCCUUAGCUGGAAAAGCGUGUUUUAAGCUAUCCCAAACUUCAUUCUGCCAAAUAUCAUCAAGGACCACAAAAUAUCGCUUCUUCUUUAACACUUGAAAAAGUGUUUCAACUAGUUUUUCUUCACUCAUCCUUUCCAGAAUCGCAUAAAACAUGGGUGCCACUUUCAUUUGCUUCAACAUCAAUUGAAAAACUUGUUCUUCCUCCAUCCUUCUCUUCUGUUUCAACUCCAAUUUAAACAAUUGGACUUCCUCAGUCAUCUUCUUUUUUUUCAACCCCAUUUUAAACAAUUGGACUUCCUCCAUCUUUUUCUUUGGUUUCAACUGCAAUUUAAACAAUUGGACUUCCUCCAUCCAUUUCUUUUGUUUCAAUUCCAAUUUAAACGAUUGGACUUCCUCCUUCCAUUUCUCUGAAUUCAACAUCAAUCGAAAUGUCUGUUCUUCCUCCAGCAUAUCCUCUUCAUUUUCUUUGGCCUCCAAUCUCAUUUGAGGAAUCUUUUUCUCUUCCAUUUUUACAGGCUCCAAUUUAGACAGUUGUUCAUUGUUCAUCCUUUUCUUUUGUUUCAACAUCAAUCUAAACAAUUUUUCUUCUGCCAUCCCAUCCACAUCAUUUUCUACUUUCUCCAACCUCAUUUGAAGAAGCUUUUCCUCUUCUGUUGACUGUUGCUCUUCCUUUGCCUUUUUCUUCUGAUUAGACAUCAAUUUAGCUGAUUGAUCCUCCACCAUCCUAUCCUCUUCAUUUUCUACCCUCUGCAACCUCGGUUGAAGACGUGUUUCCUUUUCCUUAGACAGUUGAUCUUCGUUCAUUCUUUCAUUUUGUUUCAGCAUCAUCUUAGAUAAUUGUUCUUCUGCCAUCCUAUCCACUUCAUUUUCUACCCUCUCCAACUUCAAUUGAAGAAGCUUUCCCUCUUCCGUGAACAGUUGAUCUUCCUUUGUUCUUUCAUUUUGUUCCAUCAUCGGUUUAGACAAUUGUUCUUCCACCAUCUUAUCCACUGCUUUUUCUACCCUCUCCAACCUGAAUUGAAGUACCUUUUCCUCUUCUGUAAACAAUUGAUCUUCCUUCAGCAUUUUCAUUUGCUUCAAUGUCCAUUUAGAAAACAGCUCUUCCACUAUCCUAUCCACUUCAUCUUCUAUCCUCUUCAACAGAAGCUUUUCCUCUUCCAUCUUUACCAAGUCAAAUUUAUCCUGCUUAGAUGUUACUUCGGUCAGAAUCCCUACCAAGACAUCCCUUGCGGAGAACUGCUGAGAUAUGAAAGACCAAGAAUGACAAUCAAAAUGCUGCUUCACAUGAUUGUCAUUGUAUAAUGCCUUGGCAAGUGUGGUUUUACCCAGUCCUCCCAUUCCAACUAUAGAAACAACACGGCGUUGCUCUUCCUCCACCAUCAAUUGAGAUUGAACAUCCCUUAAGCUUGCCUCCAAUCUGAUAACAUCUUCAUCUUCCUCAUCAUGCGGAAAUGAUCUUCUCAAUCGCCGUUGCAUCUCACUUGUAGAUCUAGACCCUUCUCCUUCUGCAACAAGUUUGAUGUUAUAAGUCAGCAUGCUUGUAGAGACACUUCCAAUCUUAUCUUGGAUAGAUUUGAUCUGGUUUCCAAUUUCAUGGAGAUAAGGAACCUUAAUGACCAUGGAAGUAACCCUCUUGAUGAGUCUCCAAACUCUUUUUCUAGAUCCUGUUUCAGCUUUGAGAAUAAAGGUAUCAAUGAUGUCCUCUGCCUCGUAUGCGAUGUCUCUGAUUUCAGCUAUGCAAUUGCGAACGCGCUCAUCUUGGUCUUGCUUGCUAUCUGCAUCUUUCAAGAAGCACCGAAUCCGCUUCAGUUCAGUUUGCAACUGCUCAACUCCCUGCCGCACGCCAUAAAGUGAGCUUGCUUCACGAACAACGGCAUCAGCAAUUCUUUCAAUGGCAAAGGUAACAAUAGCCUCAACCAUUGUGUUCUUUUUUUUUUUUUAAUAACCAAAGAGGUGAAAAAUAUCUCAACUUGUUUAGAUGAUACACUUUUGAUGGGUAUCUUUGCUUGAGGAAAUAAAUUGCAUUUGGAACAUUUCAUUUUCUUCUUAAUCUUUCCCUAAUGUCUUCUGUGAUUAUUGAUUCUUUGCUAGGAACAAGAGCAAGAUACUACGCUUUGGAGCAGAGCAAACCAAAAAUUAAAAGUGAAAAAGCAAUUAGCUUCCUCUUAUUUUUUGCUUAAAAAAAUGGAAGGCAUGCAACUUUUUUUCUUUCCUUUUUUCCUAUUCUUUAGAGAAUAGCUUGCAUUUUUGCUUAAAUACCAGUUGGUCUUUGCAAUUUUGGUCUUUUAAUUGUAUUUUCUGGUGAACUGAUUGAAUUAAGGAACAUGCAUUGUAUAUUAUUUAUACUUGUUAUAUAUUUGUAAUUUGAUUUGUUUUAUAUGUAUAAUUUUUAUUAAUUUUUUAUAUUAAUAAAAGGGUAUUUGUCCAUAAUUAUAUUCUUGCAUAUUAUUCUGUUAUUUAGAAAAUAAUUAUAAUAGUACAAACAAAAUAAAAAUAAAAAUAAAAACUUACAUUUAUAAAUUGUAAUGUCAAUGUAAAGAUUCUCAACAUUUAAAGAGGUAAUAGAUGAACAAUGAAUAUAAUACAAAUUUUAAUAGUAAAGAAAGUAAUGAGAAGAAUUGGAAUUUCAUUUAAUAUAAAGAAAGUAGUAAUUUAUCUAUGUGAAUUAUUUUUUAUUUAUUUGUAAUUGACAAUUGAAACACUCUUUUUUAUCAAUUUUAUAAGUCCUUAUUUUUAUUUCAUGUGUUGAUCAAAUUAAUCAGAUAAUAGGAAUCAAUACAAUUAAUUGAUCAAAUUAAAAAAUUUAAAGAUAAUAACAAUUUUUCAUAUUACUUCAGACCAAUCCAAUCUGGUUCUUAAAAAAAUAAAAGGGUUAAGGUAUCAUGUAGUUUUCUUCUGCUCUUGUUAACUGAGUGAUAAAUCCAAGCAACCAUUUCAGCGCACAUCCAAUUCAGCAGGAAGAUAAUAACGUUCAUACCCAAAACAAAUUUAUUAUAUUAAACAAUGAGUUUGUUACAUGAUUUGCAGAAAGGGAAGAACAAGAAUUCUGCCUUGGAAGUGAUUUGUAGUUCAUUACAAGAAUUGUUCCUGUUUCCCCAAUGGCCUGGUUACAGAUAAAAUAAAGACAAAUUUUAAAAUUUCUGCCAAUUCAUUGUCAAAAUUCACUGAAGUUUAUACAGCUCCUCAAAUACACAACACAGAAAAUCAACAGCAUAUCACAUUUGUGGGAGCACAAUUGACAAGCGCUACCAGAGAAUGAUCAAAAUCUUUUAUAACCAGCUUGCCUUCUAUAUCCCAAGCAGUAGGACAUGCAACAGGACAGCUUCAACUAGGCCCCAUGUCUCACUAUUUGACUAAUCUCAGCACAUCACCCACAAGAUGUAAUGAGCCAGUAACAAGGACCUGAUGAAUCAUGAAGAAGAAGUUAAAUAUCUGUAUAUCAAGCAUAAACUAAUAUAAAUGCUGCUUAUAUGACAACACCUUAUUUGACUCAGAGCUGAAAGCAAUUCAUCAUCAAAUCCUCAGUCCUAGGUCAAUUUGCUAAGAGCAUAAUACUACAUUAAUAGCAAAGUUACUACUUCGUAUGCCCAAGUUCAGGGAAAGCUUGCAAGUGUUACAUGCUGCCUUAUUGAUGUGUCAACUUCAUAUACCAUCAGAUCAAUACCGAAGAAAACAACUGUGAUAUCUAACAAGGGUCUCACAGAAUAUAAAUAAAUGUGUUUUUUCCCACUUUUUGAAAUUACCCAGUGAGUGGCCUGGCAAGUAUGUUGGAAAAAAUAAAAAGGGCCUGCUAGAAACAACAGCUUAUGAGCAGAAACAACAGCAAUGGCACUGAUUAUUCAUGUCAAGUUAUUUGAUUAGAGGGUUCAUUAAAAAGGUGAAAUUCUUAUUACACAAUUGUCUGUUCCACAUAAAUCCCUAAAAUAAUUUAUGCCACAAUACAAUAUGGGAAAUGAAAAAAGAAUUCACAAAUCAUAAAUUCAGUAUGAGGAGUCCACUUCAACGAUAUUUUCAGAAAAUAAAUUUUUAUAACGCAGGUUAUAUAAUAAAGCAGAUGCAUUAAUCAGCAUUACCUGAAUGCGAACAGAUCGAUUUUGAUAGACGCUGUCCCUGAGCCAUUUAAUAGCCAACGGAAGAGAAGGAAAGACUGCACUGUUUUUGCAAGUUCUAACACUAGAUCCUGUAUCAUCUUUAACUUCUUCACAAACAGCAUCUGUGUUAUUGGCCUCUCCACCUAAUAAGAACAAACGAUAUUUUAUUUACAACCAAGAAUGAGCAAAGCGCCUCCUUAAGUGCAGUAAUGUUUUCUAUUAUCCAUAAUUGCAUGUAUAUUGUAUGACAAACGAAGUAAAAACAAAAAAUUCUGACUGACAAUAUUAUGCUGCCAUUUUUUAAAUAUCCAAUUGUAUGGUACCCAAUUCUUCGGAAAAUAAACUACAGCAAAAGAUUUUUGAGAAAGGAAAUAAAAGCACUGUCAUAAACAACAAAAAAGGUAGCAUGUGUUUGUUAUUUUAUAUUACAUAACUACUAGUCUACUACUAGAAUUCGUUGAGUAUUUAAUCGAUACCUUUAUCACCCUGAACAAGAUUUUCCCAUAAUCUUUGCAGAGUAAAUUGCCAUGACAAAUCAACUUGGGGUUCAGUUGGGGGUAAAGCAUGAGAUCCAACCUUGUAAUACACUGAUAUAUUCGGUACAAAUAACGCCUUCUUGAAGUAGACACCUAAAACAUGAAUUCCAUGGUUAUGAAGAACAAGCUCUAGAUAAAUCUUAUCAACCUGAUUUGCUUCAGCAGAUGGAUAAUUCUAUAGCAUAAAAAUUUAAGAAAAUAGCUCACUUCAGUUCUCGGCCAUAAUAUUUCACUUGGUGGCUUUCGCCUAAAAAUGUGUUAAACCAAUUUCAUCCAAAGAUGCUUCUUGCUCAAGAACUUACCAUGAGUAGCACAUGUUUUCAUCAGACGUGGAAGAAGCAGCUGAGGAUCCCGUACUGACAUACAAUUGAACAAUAAUAUCUGCUUGGAUAUACACAAAACUUCAAGCUCAGUAUACACCCAGUGUUUAACCCAUAAUAUCAAGUUCAAAAAUUCAUAAUGCAUGUGUGCAAGCCCAUAGAAACAGACGAAAGAAUCUUUUUAACAAGUGUACAUAGUUUAACAACAAAAUGCUAUUAGACGGUCAUGUUUAUGGACCAGUAAAUGAUUGCAGAGGUGAAUAAGAACUUAAUUCUUCUUGCUCUUGAUGCAAAAGAAAAGGUCAGGCAGGACCUUGGCCCCAUGAACAGCCUUGGUAGUGAGUAGUGACCUUCACGUUAACUAUAUAUUAUAACAGCCCACAAUUUUUAUAUGUGAAGGACUUCCAUUCAAAUUACUGAAUUUUUUUUAUGAAGUACAUUAUUUUGCCAACUCAUAUAGAACCUACUUCAUUUCUGCUUUCUGAGGCAUUUUCCUUGGCAUGCAAUUCAGAGUUUUUAAAUGACAAAUGCAACUUAUGUCCAAAGAAAUGGUUCUAUGCUAGCGUUGUCAGAGCUUUCUAAGUAUCAAACAUGCCAACCCAUGCGCAUGUGUGCGUCAAACCACUAUCUAAAGGAAUUCUAAGUCACCCCAUCUACUCUGCGAUGCCAGUACUCAUUAAGGGAUUAACCUUACCUAACCACCUAAACAACUGUCUUCUUGCAGAAAACUAUUUAAUUUCAACUUCAAUUUGCAUCUUCAUCUACCAGAUCCAGAAAAGCAGGAUAAGUAACAAGGUAUAGACUUCCAUAAGUACCUGCAUGAGAUUUUUCCCAGAUUUUCCAUCAUGGUACUUGUCAACACAUUCAAGCAUGGAUUGAAAAUUGUUCUGUGAUGGACAGUUCAAGGUGUUUUGUGGGUUGUCAUCUUUAAUGGCAAGAGAAAACCAUCUCGCACAUACUUCCAUGCUUUCUGGACUAUGGGCUCCAUCCAAAUAAAACACAAGAUCUCCAUCGCUCUCAUUGUUGAUACAACGAUCGGGAACAAUUUGAGCUCGCCCUUGCAGACAGGCUGUUGUUAGCCCUUUAAUAAACUGCUCAGGCAGUGAGCUCUGUUCCAUGCAGAUAACUUUAAGAAGAUGUUAUCAAGUAAAACAAAGCUUGCAAAGAGAAACAUGUACAUAACUUACGGUUUGCUCCAAGUAGGAGAUUUCAAGGUGACCAGUCCUUUGAAGCCAUUUAGAAGAUAGUGCAACAGCAAGACCAGCAUUUAUAUACUGGUGCUCACCUUCAAGACCAAGUUUUAGACCAUUCAGCAAGUUGGAGUCUAAUGGUGGCGCCACUUGAAGAGGUACCUGCAAAAAACAUGUUUUCCUGAGUAAUAUGUAGAAGGCUGUAACUUGAUCCUUUGCUAUACUGCAUAAAUGAGAUAACUUUGCCCUAUUAAGGAAACCAUUGCAGCAAGUUUUUGUGUGGACCAAUGAAUUCCAAUUUACAGGAAAAUUAUGUGGUGAUUUUCUUCAGAAAAACAGAGCACAUAGUCAAGGACUUUUUGGACAAAUAGAAGAGAUUUCUGAUAUGAGAAAAGUGUCAAACUCUCAUAUACGAGGCCAUAAUUUACCAAUGCUUAAGCUAUCAGAGAACUAAAUGCAUCUGUGGCUUGAGAGAAGAAGUAGACUGAUAAAAGCUUAUUACUUCAACCUGAUUGUUUAACGACUAAUAAGAACUCUAGUUUAAACACAAAAUUAAAUUCACAAUUUAUAAUGAUGGACCAAUUCACAAAAGACUGGGAUGAGAACAUCAUGAAUGUUGACUGGCAAACAUCGACCUUUAUCAUUUGAACUUUGAAGCCAAAGUUUCAGCAAGUGUUUCUUAAGUUAUGUAGAAUAGUAGAUAAAACUAAGUGGUGCAUGAACUGUGCUACUUACAUCUCGCUUAGAAGCCUUCUCUUCAAGCACACGCAUUGCUUCAUCAGGUUGAGGCACUGUGAAUGCUGGAACCCCAUUCUGUAUUCAAAAGAGGGAACAUGAAUUAAAAUGAAAAAUUAAAGAAAAUAACAGUAAUGGUUAGUCAAACUGGAUUAAGCUAAGAAGCAAAACCCUUGGCAUAGAUUAUAUGCCUGAAUGAGUAGUAGCUACAAAGAACACCUUAAAGAUGCCAGCCUUCUCUCCAGCAAUUUCUCCGAGAGUAUUUCCUGUCAAAGCAUUAUGUUAUGAGAUCUAAAAAAGUUUGGAAAUGCAGGACACUAAACUCUAAUACGAGUCUAUCUGCAAUAAAUUCCAGUGUCACAAAUUUUCAGAUGGUCAAAAAAGUAAGCGUACGUUAAGUCUUUACAAGGUUAGUAAGUGAUCAGCAGAGUAUGUGAAUGUGACAAACUCUGGAUUCAGGAUACGGUAAUUAAAUAAUGUCAACAAAUUAUUUAGGGACUUUAGUUCUGAAAUUAACUAAAAAUUAACUAAAUGUUAAACAACUAUGAUCAAUCACCUAACUUAAAAUAAAUAGAUGAACUAACCAAGAAUCUCCAUGUGAUCAUAUCCAAGGGACGAGAUACCACACACAACAUGUGUUUGAACCUGAAACAUGAUGCUGUGUCAACUCACUUUAGAUGUAAGACAGAAAUAAAAGGAUUUCCAGCAUGAAGAUCUCAACAUAAAGCAGUAUUUGUUUCUCAAUAAACUGCUUCUUUCAAAUAAGUAUUACACAUACCACAUUUGUUGCAUCAAACGUUCCGCCUAAUCCAACCUCCAAAAUAGCAACAUCUACCUGCAUACGUAGAUUUAGUAAAUCUGAAUCCUAUCCUCAUCAGAAAUAAAACUCAUACAUGUGCAAAGUCCAAAUAGAGAGAAGAUGUUAAUGAAGUUGAAAACUGUGCAUAUCAAACCUGCUCUGCUGCAAAUAUCUUGAAGGCAAGCAAGGCAAGAAAGCGGAAGUAAGUAGGCAUUGGUAUAUCUUCAGUAGUUUUUUCCUACACAAAAACUUUCAAUUGAACACCAGAGAAAUCAUUGCCCACAGAUAAACACGUACAAUUUCAUGCAUGUAUACACACACAGAGAUUUUAAUCAAAAUAGAGAACAUCUUUUCCAUCCAUGAUUAUACAUGAUAUGAUAGCAUGACGUUCAAGAAAAUGAAUAAGUGAUUUUCUUCAGCCAUUAUGUUUAGCUACAGUUUCACCAUUAUCUUAUGAUAAUAAAUUCUUCAGGUACAUUGAAAUGUAACCUAUAUCCAUAAAAAUAUAUAGAACUGAACCACUUACGAGAAGAUAAAAUUGAUAUCAUAAGAUAUUACUUACAGAAAUAGAAAAAGUAUCAUAGAAAUCAUCUUCCCUGCAAAUAUCCAUCAAACCAAAUGUUUUUACAUCCCUCACUAUCCCCAACCAUAACACAGAAAGGCAGCAAGCAAAGAAGAAUAGCUUUCCGAUUGUGUAUUAUAUCCCUUAUCGCCAAAUCUUCCUCUACAAUUGAUGAAAACUUGAAAUCUGAGCCCAAUGAUAAUCUAAGAUUACCAAGUAACCCGUGUAUACAACAUUAUGCUCUUCAUGGUGGCACUGAUACAGAGCAAUAUACAAUCAUGGAUUACCUCCAGUCCUUCGCUCUUGUGCAUAAAGCAAUAAGUUGUCGUAAUCUUUAUUUUCUUGGAUUAAAUUAUUAAACUUUUCAGCUCUUUCCAUGUCAAAAAAAUUGCUACUUCAAUAGGAACCUGCUUAUCUCAAUCCAAGUAAACUUUUGAACAAAACCAUAUUCAAUACAAUUUUCUCUUCCUUAGUUGGGACCCUCACAAACUAAAUAACUAGAAAGAAUCAACCUUAUUCAUAUUCUUAACUACACAUGCACAGGCGGAUGCCCACACACACAUCCAAUUAACAUAUGCAAUCAUGUAGAUAUCUGAAAUAUCAUAUUACUCUUCAGAUUCCUUUCUAAUUAAUCUAGACAUCAUUCACUCAAAGCAAAUGAUUCAAUGCAAACCAAAUAAAUUUUUAAACUGAAAACAGUAUUUUUUCUUUUUGAAAAAAAAACAGCCAACAGAAACAAAUCUUGUCCUUUUCAAUAAUGAUAUCUGAGCAGCCAAGGUUUGGUUUGGUCUAACUUCAAGCAAAAUGGAACUGACUCUUUCAAUUCCUUUCCAGAACUAAAAUAAAUCAUCAACACUUCCAUCAUUUCAUGGAACACGAGCAGCAAAACUCUUCCAUUAAAAGUUCAAUUGCCUCAGAUUUCUCACAAUUUGUUAAAUAACUUACCUAUACACCACAAUUUAAUGUUAGGCACAUUGUACAUCAAGUCAAGCAUCCACAUACGAAAAUGCAUUUCUAAUGAAUCUUAGCUGCAUCAAGGUAGGAAGAUUUAACAAAAAAAAUCAUGUUACCUUCAGUCUAUCAUAACACCACCAAAAGUAUGCCAAAAAUUUUUCUUCACAAAUGUCCUCACUGCAACAGUCAACAAGAAACCACAAAAUCUUAAACUAGGAUGAAAAUGAUGUACAAGUACAACCAUCCAAAGGCAAAAUAUUAUCACCUAAAGAACGGAAACUGAGUGGAAAUUCAAAUACUGUAAGAAAAUCAUAUUUAUUUUGUUUAGGAACAUGGACAAGUGUGCCUUUCUCCUAUGUACACCAAAAUAAAGGUUCUUUUUCUCUCGUCUCUGGCUCUUUCAUUCUCUCAAAUGGAGACUAACAAGAUCAUUGGAUUAGGCACGAUAAGAACACAUCUAACACUCACUUAAUGGCCUCUCUCCAUAUUCUGCAGGAAUUCAUCACCAGAGAGGACUGGGAAGUUUCAGAGAUUUAUCAUUUGGCACCAUCUGUGCAAAUUGAACCCAUGACCACAUGAACAUGGUGAUACCUAAAUCUAAGAAAUAAAACUAUAAUAGCUUCUAUUCAGUACCUACUUAGGGAAUACAUUAGGGGAAAAAAGAAAAGGAAGAGUAUGAGUCUUCCUCAU